rnacentral:rRNA from 1 species
GCGGACAGAUGGGAGCUUGCUCCCUGAUGUUAGCGGCGGACGGGUGAGUAACACGUGGGUAACCUGCCUGUAAGACUGGGAUAACUCCGGGAAACCGGGGCUAAUACCGGAUGGUUGUUUGAACCGCAUGGUUCAAACAUAAAAGGUGGCUUCGGCUACCACUUACAGAUGGACCCGCGGCGCAUUAGCUAGUUGGUGAGGUAAUGGCUCACCAAGGCAACGAUGCGUAGCCGACCUGAGAGGGUGAUCGGCCACACUGGGACUGAGACACGGCCCAGACUCCUACGGGAGGCAGCAGUAGGGAAUCUUCCGCAAUGGACGAAAGUCUGACGGAGCAACGCCGCGUGAGUGAUGAAGGUUUUCGGAUCGUAAAGCUCUGUUGUUAGGGAAGAACAAGUACCGUUCGAAUAGGGCGGUACCUUGACGGUACCUAACCAGAAAGCCACGGCUAACUACGUGCCAGCAGCCGCGGUAAUACGUAGGUGGCAAGCGUUGUCCGGAAUUAUUGGGCGUAAAGGGCUCGCAGGCGGUUUCUUAAGUCUGAUGUGAAAGCCCCCGGCUCAACCGGGGAGGGUCAUUGGAAACUGGGGAACUUGAGUGCAGAAGAGGAGAGUGGAAUUCCACGUGUAGCGGUGAAAUGCGUAGAGAUGUGGAGGAACACCAGUGGCGAAGGCGACUCUCUGGUCUGUAACUGACGCUGAGGAGCGAAAGCGUGGGGAGCGAACAGGAUUAGUACCCCCUGGGUAA